rnacentral:misc_RNA from 1 species
CGCACAUUGCGCCCAUUAGUAUUCUAGUGGGCAUGCCUGUUCGAGCGUCAUUAAGUCCAUUAAGCCUAGUUGCUUAGCGUUGGGAGCAUUACCGUACGGUAACUCCUCAAAGUCAGUGGCAGGGUUACGGCACACUCUAAGCGUAGUAGAUUUCUUUCUCGCUUUUGUUGUGGCCGCGGCCGUUGCCAUAAACCUAUACUUUUUAGUUGGUUGACCUCGGAUCAGGUAGGAAUACCCGCUGAACUUAA